rnacentral:rRNA from 1 species
GAUGAACGCUAGCGGGAGGCCUAACACAUGCAAGCCGAGCGGUAUUGUUUCUUCGGAAAUGAGAGAGCGGCGCACGGGUGCGUAACACGUGUGCAACCUGCCUUUAUCUGGGGGAUAGCCUUUCGAAAGGAAGAUUAAUACUCCAUAAUAUAUUGAACGGCAUCGUUUAAUAUUGAAAGCUCCGGCGGAUAGAGAUGGGCACGCGCAAGAUUAGCUAGUUGGUGAGGUAACGGCUCACCAAGGCGAUGAUCUUUAGGGGGCCUGAGAGGGUGAUCCCCCACACUGGUACUGAGACACGGACCAGACUCCUACGGGAGGCAGCAGUGAGGAAUAUUGGUCAAUGGGUGCAAGCCUGAACCAGCCAUCCCGCGUGAAGGACGACUGCCCUAUGGGUUGUAAACUUCUUUUGUAUAGGGAUAAACCUACCCUCGAGAGGGUAGCUGAAGGUACUAUACGAAUAAGCACCGGCUAACUCCGUG